rnacentral:rRNA from 1 species
GUAGGGAAUAUUGCGCAAUGGGGGAAACCCUGACGCAGCGACGCCGCGUGAGUGAUGAAGGCCUUCGGGUCGUAAAGCUCUGUUGCAGGGGAAUAAAAAAAUGAAGGUACCCUGUGAGGAAGGAUCGGCUAACUUCGUGCCAGCAGCCGCGGUAAGACGAGGGAUCCUAGCGUUGCUCGGAAUCAUUGGGCGUAAAGAGGGCGUAGGUGGCUUGGUAAGUCAGGUGUGAAAGCCCAGGGCUCAACCCUGGAAGUGCAUUUGAGACUGCUGAGCUUGAGUGUCGGAUAGGUUACCGGAAUACCUGGUGUAGUGGUGAAAUACGUAGAUAUCAGGUGGAACACCGGAGGCGAAGGCGGGUAACUGGACGAACACUGACACUGAGGCCCGAAAGCGUGGGGAUCAAACAGGAUUAGAAACCCUUGUAGUCC